rnacentral:lncRNA from 1 species
AUGAUCAUUAAAACCCAAGUGAGCUGCACGGACCUAAGGACGGGCCCCACCGGGAGGGGACAUCUGGUGAGCAAGGAGGCUUGCGGGGCUGCAGCCCGUCAGGGCUUCCCCUUCUUCUGUCUGUCAAAAAAUGCAUGGCCGAAAAGAGAGGUACAGCGACGUGGACCUGCCUCGCCGGGCGCAGCAAGGGUUAACGGCCUACGUGCGAUAGCGCCACGAAACGGCUUCCUCGCUCGCCCUUUCGGCCGGACUUGGACGCGGGAAGCGGUGAGAUGCUAACGCAUCCAUAAAGAUCAUGGACAGUUCUGCACAGAGAAGAGAAGUUCAGUCUCGAUGCAUUCCUGGGCUUUGAGACUCUACAAAGCUCCAUGGAGUUGACUCUGGCACACUGCUAGGCACAAGUGGAAAAGCUGUGAGUUUGAGUGUGGGGGCUGUGACAUACUCACCUGAUAAUGAAUGUACAAUUGUCUUUCAUUUGUUUAUUUUGGCUUCUUGAUCUCCACACCAGGUUGUAUUGUUUUCAUCUUUAAUUAGCACAUCUAUUCCCUUGGCCUUGGAUUGUUGCUUUGGAGAUGCACAAGGGACCUUUGGAGACCUGCUCAUUACAGCAGCAGGUGUGCAUAAAGCCAACCUGGACAAGCCUGC